rnacentral:rRNA from 1 species
UACAGAGGUCCCGAGCGUUGUUCGGAUUCACUGGGCGUAAAGGGUGCGUAGGUGGCGGGGGUAAGUUUGAUGUGAAAGCUCAGGGCUUAACCCUGAAAUGGCAUUGAAUACUACUCUGCUGGAGGUUUGGAGGGGGGGACUGGAAUUCUUGGUGUAGCAGUGAAAUGCGUAGAUAUCAAGAGGAACACCAGUGGCGAAGGCGAGUCCCUGGACAACACCUGACACUGAGGCACGAAAGCUAGGGGGAGCAAACAGG